GUGCUCACUUCAGAAGCACAUAUACUAAAAUUGGAAUGAUAGAGAGAAGAUUAGCAUGGCCCCUGUGCAAGGAUGACAUGCAAAUUCAUGAAGCAUUCCAUAUUUUU
rnacentral:snRNA from 1 species